UUGGGAUGAGUAUUGAAUGAGUAUCUUCUCAGUUUUUAAGUUGUAUAUAAAUGCAUAUGUAUGUUGUUAUCUACAAAAUGUUGGGUAGAACUUGGGUAGAUAGUUAAUGUGUGAUAAAAUGAUGAGAGGCCUCGAUGUGAUUGUGACCUAGUCAUUCGGCAGAAUAUGGAUAACGACCACUGACUCUUUCUAGACUCUCUUGUGGAAUGCUGGCAGGCUCAUAACCUGCAGGUGUUGGUGAACUUGGGUGUUCAUUUGCUGUAUUCUAUCCCAUCAUGGUUGCCUUAGGACAUUCAUUGCUGAGGAAACCCCUUUGCAGUAUUGUCCGUCCCGAUGAAAAUCCUAGAUUAGGUCCCUUGGGAUAGUUGUUGUUUUAAGGACGUAAAGUGAGGAUAACGGAAAUGGGUAAUCGGGUUAUUGUUGGUUGGUGAAAUUAAAUAAUAUUGUGGGUUGAAAACCCUAUAUGCUCAUCGGGCUCCCAAGCCUGACCUACUCAGUUUCUUUGUAUUACAGGUAGUUGCACGAGAGCAUAAGUUGGGGAACUUGUGAAGAUAUUUUUGUUAUAGACCAAUAGUUUUAUAUAACUAUGUAAGGUCUAUGUUUUAUUGUUUAUGCUUUUGUGUCUGUAUCGGAACAUGACAUCCCGAGUUUUGAUAUAUAAUGAAAAUACAUUUCCUUAAGAAAUGAUUUGAUAAACUUUAUUUUAUCAUGUAUUGUUUUGGGGACAAAUUAUGCAACUCUUUUAAAUCAAUGGAUUUACUCUGAAAUAAUUUUAAAAGCAUAAAUGAAACCGGUGUUUUUUGGCCAUGAUUUUGGGGAUGUCACAGUUGGUAUCAGAGCAUUAGUUUAAGCGAACUAGGAAUUUGUAGGAUUUCUAGACUUAAACUUAUAGUUCUAAGUGAAGUUUGUGAGAUGUGUGUCUGCAUAUUUUAGACACGAGCACUAGUUUAUUUUAGGAGAAAUUGCCUAAAAUGCUUGUGUGUGCGAAAUGUUAUAUGGUUGCCAUAUAUGAUGUUAUUUGUUCGGAUCUACGGUUUGCUACCAACCGGAUCUGGAAAACUUAUGUGUUUAGGAUUCUAAGCGUAGGAUUCCGGUAUUAGAACUAGCAUGAAAUCGUUUGGAGUAAUAAGGAUGAUUUGAAUAUAUAUCGUGAAUGGGGAUCUAAUUUCACUUUAUUCGGUGUAUAGAUAAAAAAUGGUGAGAACGAGGAGUGGAGUUGGAAAUGUUGAUGAAAACAGGAAUCAAAUACCUGUGAUAGAACAAGUAGUUGUUGCAGCAGCAGCACCUGAGCCAAUGACUAUGGCUAGUGUGCAAGUGAUGAUUCAAACUAUGUUGGAUCGCCAAAUGGAAGAAACAAGGCGUAUGCUUCGACAGAAUCGUGAAGAACUGUCAAUUCACGUGGAAGAGCCCGAAGUUAAUGGAGGGCAGUCUGAAGGAGAGAACUUUAGUGGGAUAAUUGGUCAAGACAACCCACCGAUAGUUUGACAAAACAACCAAGAUGGAGGAAAUAAUGGACUGGGAUGCAAGUACAAGGACUUUUUCACUUGCAAACCAUCGACCUUCACUAGAAAGGAGGACCCGAUCGGAGUGAUGGAUUGGAUCUCCGAAAUGGAGUUAGCCUUCAUGACUUGUGGCUGCAGAGACAAGUUACAGACCACGUUCGCAGUGCGUCAGUUCAGGGGUGGAGCCGUUCGCUGGUGGAACACUUUGAGGAAGACCCUAAGCCCUAAUGAGCCAUUGCAACUGACUUGGGCAGAGUUCUUGGUGCAAUUCAAGCGCAAUUUCUGCUCGGCCCAAAAUCUACUAAAGUUUGAGAACAAGUUUCUGACAUUGACUAAAGGCAGCAUGUCAGUCGAUGAUUACACCAAUGCCUUUACAAACAAAAUGGAGUUUGCUUUGUGCAUCGUCCAAGAUAAGCUGAAAAAAGUUGACCGGUAAGCAAAAGGACUCCCAUAGGAGUACGUUGUGCCAGUAUGUCAGGCACCUACUCUGGAGGCAGCUAUUUGAGCUGCCAAGUCUGUUGAGGACAUGAUCAAGGGAAGAACCGCCAGUAAAGUUGAAGUUGGUGAAAAGAGAAAGUUUGAAGGAACUUCAGGUUCCAAUAAGAAAAGAAAAUUUUCGAAGUCUGAUUCAAAAAAGUUUGGAGGAGGAAAAGGAGGCGAAUCGAAAUGGUGUGAGAAGUGCAAGAAAAAGCACUCUGGGAAAUGAAGCGAGGAUGUGACCUGCUACAAGUGUGGAAAGACAGGGCAUUACGCCAAUGAGUGUUCGUCCAACAAGAGAGUGUGCUUUCAAUGUUUGAAGAGGGGCACAUUUUGAAAGACUUUUCGAGAAAGAAGAAGGCAGCAAAACCCAAUAUUCCCCCAAAGCCGAAGGCGAGAGCAUUCCAGAUGACAUUGGAAGCUGCAAAAGAUGAAGCUGAUGUCGCUUCAGGUACCUUUCUCAUAAACGAAUUGCCUGCCCAAAUUUUUUUUGAUUCUGGAGCCAAUUACUCCUUUAUAUCGCAUGAAUUUGGUAGAAAACUAGCUUUUCAUGUUGAUAGACUAGAUAAUGCCUUAUUAGUCGCAGUCGCUAGUGGCACGUUUAUACCUAUUAGCCAUCACAUGAGAAACAUCUUCAUUGAUUUAAAUGGAAAUAAGUUCCACAAGGAAUUAUUGCCUAUCGAACUUAACGGUUUCAACAUCAUGUUGGGAAUGGAUUGGCUUAGCGCCAAUGACGCCGCUAUAUGGUGCAAGAAGAAGAUAGUCAAAGUAAAACCGCCUGGGAAAGAGUCGUUUAUGGUGUAGGGAGAUAAACGCAGGGUAAAUUCUGGAAUCAUUUCAUUGAUGAAAGCCAGAAAGUGUUUGGCCAAAGGAUGUACAUCGUAUCUAGCAUUCUUAAUUGAUGCUAAGAAAGAGAAGAAGGAGGUGCAGAGCAUUCCGGUGGUGUGUGAUUAUCCGGAAGUGUUUCCCGAAGAUCUUCCUGGAUUACCGUCUGAUCGGCAAGUAGAAUUUUGUAUUGACUUGUUACCCAGAACGAAGCCGAUAGCAAAAGCACCUUACCAAUUAGCACCAACGGAGAUGAAGGAGAUGAUGAUGCAACUUUAGGAGUUAUUGGACAAAGGUUUCAUAAGACAUAGUUCAUCACGGUGGGGAGCUCCGGUUUUAUUCAUGAAAAAGAAAGAUGGAAGUAUGAGAAUGUGCAUCGAUUACAGAGAGUUGAACAAGGCAACAAUAAAGAAUAGAUAUCCGUUGCCGAGGAUUGAUGACCUGUUCGAUCAACUACAAGGUUCAAUUUAGUUUUCAAAAACCGACCUAAGGUCAGGAUAUCGUCAGCUGAAAGUGAGAGAGCAGGAUAUAGAGAAGACUGCAUUCAGAACACGAUAUGGACACUACGAUUUUUUGAUUAUGUCGUUUGGACUAACCAAUGCUCCAGCAGCAUUCAUGGAUUUAAUGAACAGGGUUUGUAAUCCGUUCCUUGAUAAAUCUGUGAUAGUGUUCAUAGAUGACAUUCUGAUUUACUCGAAAAGCCAAGAGGAGCAUGACAGACACUUGCAAGAAGUGUUGGAAGUCUUGAAGAAGGAGAAGUUGUAUGCUAAGUUCUCCAAAUGUGAUUUUUGGAUUAGAUAAGUCCAAUUCUUGGGUCACGUGGUCAACCAAUUAGGUAUAAUGGUUGAUCCAGCAAAGAUUGAGGCUGUGACGAAGUGGCAGCAACCGAAGAGUCCCACGGAGAUCCGAAGCUUUUUGGGAUUAGUCGGGUAUUACCGAAGAAUUAUCCAAGGCUUUUCUUCAAUCGUUACUCCAUUAACAGCUUUGACCCACAAAGGAGCUACUUAUGGUUGGAAUGAUAAGCACAAACAAGUAUUCGAGUUGCUAAAGAAGAGGCUAUGUGAGACACCGAUUCUUUCUCUACCUGAUGGAGUUGAAGACUUCGUUGUUUAUAGCGAUGCGUCUGGUGUUGGGUUAGGUUGUGUUUUGACCCAAAGAGAAAAGGUGAUAGCAUAUGCGUCUCGAUAGCUGAAAGAGCAUAAAAAAAACUACCCCACUCACGAUUUGGAGCUGGCAGCGGUAGUUUUCGCUUUAAAGAUAUGGAGGUAUUACCUCUAUGGCACGAACUGCAAACUUUUCACUGAUCAUAAAAGUCUCCAAUAUCUCUUUAGUCAGAAAGAAUUGAAUAUGAAGCAGCGACCCUAGCUAGAGUUAUUCAAGGACUACGACUGUGAGAUACUUUACCAUCCCGGUAAAGCAAAUGUUGUCGCUGAUGCUCUCAGUCAGAAAGUCAAUCUUGAAAGAAAAAGGCCAAGAGCGUUGAGAAUAGAAGUUGUAUCGACCAUUGUGGAAAGUAUAAAGAAAGCUCAAGAGGAAGCUUCUGAAAAGAAUGACCAGAAAGAGGAACGUUUGGGAAAACGUUGGUGUUUGGUACAAACGGUCAUGGACUGAAGGUAUUCCAAGAUCGUAUUUGGGUACUUACGUCAGGAGGAAUAGAGAUCUUCUGAUGGAAGAAGCUCACAAAACCAUGUACUCAAUUCAUCCUGGAAGCACUAAAAUGUAUAGGGACCUGAAACCCUAUUACUGGUGGCUGACGAUGAAGCUUGAUAUUGCAAAGUACGUGGCGGAGUGUGUGACAUGUGCGUAGGUCAAGGCACAACAUCAGAAACCAUACGAGAGUUUAGAACCUUUUCCUGUACCUAUGGGUAAAUGGGAAGACAUUGCUAUGGAUUUUAUCACUAAACUGUCCAGAAUAAAGAAUGGUCACGACAUGANUAUCACUAAACUGUCCAGAACAAAGAAUGGUCACGACAUGAUUUGGGUGGUCGUUGAUCGCUACACUAAGAGUGCGCAUUUCAUAGCAGCCAAUGAGAAAUGGUCUAUGGAUAAGCUUGCGAAUUCUUACGUGAAGGAUAUUAUGAGGCUUCACGGUGUGCCAUUAAUGAUUGGAUCAGAUCGUGACAGCCGUUUUACCUCGCGAUUUUGGAAGAGUCUACAAGAGGAAUUGGGUACCAAGUUGUGUUUGAGUACAACUUACCAUCCACAGACUGAUGGUCAGAGUGAACGAACGAUACAAACACUUGAAGAUAUGCUGAGAGCAUGUACCCUGGAAUUCCAAGGUAACUGGGAUGAACAUUUACCUUUGGUAGAAUUCUCCUAUAAUAAUAGUUUCCACUCGAGUAUAAAGACGGCACCUUAUCAAGCUUUGUACAGACAGAAGUGUCGUACGCCAUCUUGUUGGCUUGAGGCUGGAGAAAAGCAGUUUAUGGGACCUAAGAUGGUCCAUCAAACUGAUAAAAAGCUGAAAAUAAUCAGGGAGAGAAUGUUAGCAGCUCAAGAUCGUCAAAAGAGCUAUGCUGACAAGAAAAGAAGACUGAUGACUUUUGAAGUCGAGGAUUCAGUUUUACUUAAAGUCUCACCGUGGAAGGGAAUUAUAAGGUUUGGCAAAAGGGGAAAGUUAAGUCCAAGGUUUAUUGGACCGUUUAAAGUUCUUCAGAGGGUUGGGAACCAAGCUUACAAGAUCGAAUUACCCGAAGAACUGAAUGGAAUUCAUAACACUUUCCAUGUGUGUUAUCUGAGGAAGUUUCAUGGGGGAAGUUCCCGACAUGAUUUCACUUUCAUAUUUAAGACUUAAUGAGAACAAGUGGUUAAUUGAAGAACCAGAGGCAAUCAUUGACCGAAAGACUAAGAAGUUGCGACGCAAGAUGGUCGAGUUAGUGCUUGUCCGUUGGAAACAUACGAAUGAGCCAAAUCUCGCCUGGGAGACGGAGAGUGACAUGAUGAGUCGCUAUCCGCAUUUGUUUGUUGAUGUGUGAUUCCAGGGACGGAAUCAUCCUAAGGUGGAGAGAAUUGUAACGCCCAUGUUUAUGGGCUUUUCAUUAAUAGCAAUGUAAUAGUCUAGGUUACCCUUUGUAACCCAUUUUGAAAUAAUAAGAAUGUAUUAUUUGAGUAUUAUGUGUUUUAUGUUUAAUUGUUUAAUUGUGUGACUUAAAUGAAUUAAGGAUAAAAAUAAACGUCAAAAUGAAAUGUUGAAUAAGCCUAAUAUCUAUGAAGGCAUUUGUAGUGGUCGUGACAAGGUUUCCGAAUAUAUAAAGAAUGUCGAAAUCCGAGUUAUAACGAAGAAGUUAUCAUAUGUCGAAGUUUCGCGACAGAACCGACACGACGCUGAGUGACGUAAAAUAUGAAUUUAAGAUAGAUCGAUAUCUAGCCUUAGCGAUCUAAACAAACUUCAUAGAGUUCGUUAAACCGAAAGCGUGCAUUAAAAGAAUGCCCAAAUCUGACUUCGUAUGAGGAAGUUAUGAUUUUUCUAAGUUUCAGCUUAGCAGUAUGCAGCCCGAAGUUCGAUUUUGAGAUCGAGUGAAUUCUAGCGAAAAAAAUCUAAACGAGAAUCGAAGAUCUCGUUGAUAGUAGUCCAAAGAAAGAAAGACAAACGAAAACGGACAUUAGACAAAGAAGUUAUGGAUUUAUAACGGAGUUUUCUUGUCCCGGCCUACUAAAAAUAAUAUAAUAAAACUAAAUUCAAAAUUAGCCGACGGAGUCUAAAUGAGAGUUGUAGAGCAUAAUCUCACCUACGGGUGCAUAUAAAGAAUGUCGAAAACGGAGCCCGUAUAUGAAAUAUAUGAAUUUUUGAAGUUCGGAACACAAAAAUCGAGGCUGUGUCAGAACUCACGACGUAAGUACAGUGGUCAGGACGUGAGCACAGACCUGACGCCUUCCAGAGAAACUGGACGAGUGACGCAUGCAGUGACCUACUGAGGUCACGACGUGAGCAUUAGAAACUCACGACGUGAGUGUAGAAAUUUCACCCUAUAAAUAGAAAUCAAGGGUCAACCGAUUUUGGUUGCUCCUCCCUUACUCUUCCACUCCCGAUACCCUCUCUAAGCCCUAUUUAUACCCCCGAAGCCCCGGUAUCAUCCCGAGACCGGAAGCGAGUCCCGAAGCCCCAAAGAUCCAGAGAAUAAAAGAGUUUUCGAGUCGAAGCUCUGCCCGCAAGAAGCCCGAUGUGUGAAGUGAUCCCGGGUUCACCGAAGACCUACUAUUCUUAGAGUCGUAGUGCUGUCCGAUCAUCUUCUGAUCAAGUGAGUGUAUAUUCCCUUUCUUCUAAAACAUACAUAUGAAGUAUCUACUUUAGAAUACGUGUUACGUGUGUAUAAAUAUACGUAUAUAUAUAUNNNNNNNNNNNNNNNNNNNNNNNNNNNNNNNNNNNNNNNNNNNNNNNNNNNNNNNNNNNNNNAUAUAUGGUAUCUGUUUAUUUGGGAUAAAUAUUGAAUGAGUAUCUUAUCGGUUUUUAAGUUGCAUAUGAAUGCAUAUGUAUGUUGUUAUCUACAAAAUGUUGGGUAGAACUUGGGUAGAUAGUUAAUGUGUGAUAAAAUGAUGAGAGGCCUCGAUGUGAUUGUGAUCUAGUCAUUUGGCAUAAUAUGGAUAACGACCACGACUCUUUCUAGACUGUCAUGUGGAAUGCUGGUAGGCUCAUAACCUGCAGGUGUUGGUGAACUUGGGUGUUCAUUUUCUGUAUUCUAUCCCCAUCAUGGUAGCCUUAGGACAUUCAUUGUUGAGGAAACCCCUUUGCAGUAUUGUCCGUCCCGAUGAAAAUCCUAGAUUAGGUCCCUUGUGAUAGUUGUUG
rnacentral:lncRNA from 1 species